rnacentral:lncRNA from 1 species
GCCAAAUUGACUGGUGAGUGAAAAAGUAAAUUUAAAUCCCUGUAUAUAUAUUAAAGUGUUGUUUUUAAAUAUUCAAUACUAUUUUAACAGAGUGUUUUCUGCAAGAUCUCCAGGACUCCAGCACUCACUGACUCAGAUGAUGAGGCAUCACCUCUUGGAACCUCAAGAGAUCCUCUCCGAGCUUCCUUGAACUGGAGCACACGACAAAGUCUCUUUUCAGAGAGGUGGAGGGCAGAGAGACCCCGUCUGGUGAACACCGCUGCGGCACCAGAAAAUGUGGCAACACACAUCUGCCAACAGUGUGGGAGCAAUCCAGCUGCUGUCCGGUGUUGUGACUGUCGACCACGCCCCUUCUUCUGUGCUGAAUGUGACGUCAGCAUGCACACCAGACAUGUUCUCCAUAACCGAGAUGCCAUGACUGCUGGAUUCUACCAGCCAUUGCCUCCAACAACUUUUGUUGUAGAUAAGGCUCUUUCCCAUUGUGUGCGGCUUGUACCUGUGGAGAUUCCUGACAAAAUUUGUGGUUGUUCACCAGAGUCAUUGAGGGUCAGCCCAGGGAAGACUAUUGCUGUGAUCACAAUGAAUGGAUGAUAUGAUCUAAACAUGCCUGAGUUGAGAUGUGAGGCAUGCCAAUCCACUUGGGCUGCUGGAGUGGUCGACCUAAAUCGAAGUGACUACUGGCCUGCGACCCUUCACUUUGCCACAAUUUAUGCCACAGAUGUCUUUUUUUCAUUUG